rnacentral:rRNA from 1 species
UAGGGAAUCUUCGGCAAUGGGGGCAACCCUGACCGAGCAACGCCGCGUGAGUGAAGAAGGUUUUCGGAGCGUAAAGCUCUGUUGUAAGAGAAGAACGUGUGUGAGAGUGGAAAGUUCACACAGUGACGGUAACUUACCAGAAAGGGACGGCUAACUACGUGCCAGCAGCCGCGGUAAUACGUAGGUCCCGAGCGUUGUCCGGAUUUAUUGGGCGUAAAGCGAGCGCAGGCGGUUUAAUAAGUCUGAAGUUAAAGGCAGUGGCUUAACCAUUGUUCGCUUUGGAAACUGUUAAACUUGAGUGCAGAAGGGGGGAGUGGAAUUCCCUGUGUAGCGGUGAAAUGCGUAGAUAUAUGGAGGAACACCGGUGGCGAAAGCGGCUCUCUGGUCUGUAACUGACGCUGAGGCUCGAAAGCGUGGGGAGCAAACAGG